AAUCUGGGAGGAGGAGCUCAGGUAAGUAAUGCAUUUAUUCAUUUACUGGUGAUUUCUACUUUUACCAUUUCUGAUAAGUGUAUGUGUUAUCUUUGCUGCCAUCAGCGGUUUCAUUUGCUGAGUUCUUCGAGAAAGGCAAACCAAAAGACACGACACUCUUGAUUAAUAAUUACUAGCCGUAACGUAACGGUAAGUAACAUUAUUUUCCCCCAUCUAUAUUAUAUUCUUCUUCAUUCCAUCUUAAACUAACACUACCACUCCUUUACAAUCCAAAUGAAUUGGUCUUUGACCCCCAUUGCUUCGGUCCUCUGGAUGUUUUGUUGUUAGAUACGUAGUGUGAAUUUCUUGGAUGGUUUCGUGUAUUGUUAGUGUGUUUGAGAGACUUGCGAUUCUUGAUUCUGUUCCACAAAAUUCAUCUCUUUUUGUUUGUUACUAUGGGAAAAGUUGUGAGAUCUUUGUGAAGUCUCUGUUAGUGAAGAAUGUGUGCAAAAUGUCCUGAUGAUGCGCAUUUGUCCUGUGAACUACGUAGAGAUUUGGGAUGCGUUGCGCUGCAGGAGAAUAAGAACGAUGGAAGGUCAUCAUCGACUACGAGUUUGGAGCCUUAGCGUGGAGCUCAUCUGUUCUGUCCUCUGGUAGCAGAGACAGGAGCAUACUUCAGAGAGACAUACGGUGUCAAGAAGAUCAUGUCAGCAAACUAACAGGUCACAAAUAUCCCAAGUCUGUGGACUUAAAAUGGUCUUAUGACAACCGCGAGCUAGCAUCAGGCGGUAACGACAAUAAGCUUCUUGUAUGGAACCAACAUCCAACACAACCGGUUUUGAGAUACUGUGAGCACACAGCAGCGGUUAAAGCCAUUGCGUGGUCACCGCAUCUCCACUGCUGAUAGAUGUAUCCGUUGCGUAGACACCAGUAGUCAGGUGUGUAAUUUGGCUUGGUCUAAGAACGUGAAUGAGCUUGUGAGCACUCAUGGAUAUUCCCAAAACCAAAUCAUCGUUUGGAAAUACCCAACCAUGUCUAAAUUAGCAACUCUCACAGGUCACACGUUCCGUGUUCUGUAUCUUGUUGUUUCACCAGAUGGACAGACGAUCGUGACAGGAGCAGAAGAUGAAAACCUUUAAGAUUCUGGAAUGUCUUCCCUUCCCCUAAAUCUCAGAGCAGUGAGAGCAAAAUAGGGGCUUGUUUUAGUACUAGACGGCUACAAGAUUAAAAAGGAAGUAAAAAAAUGGAAUGCUCUUUCUUCAGCCGUGUAAGUGUAAGUCAGGUUAGUCAGUGAUGCUGCGCUAUGGAACUGACGCUGAAGGCUUAUCUGGAUAUGGGUUUUUUAAAGAAGAUGCUGUCGACCUAGCGCGCACGAGCUGGGAAAAUCAAAGGUUUCACAAGAACUAGGUGUUUUCCUGCACCAUGUGCAGUAAAAUUGUAUCAAAAUUACAACUAACUAACUGUAUCAAAAUUGACUCAAAAGGGAAGUGAAAAAGGAUCCAGCCUACAACAGAUCUAAACGCUAGUGAUUUGCUCAGGUCCAUAUCUGAUAAGAGCUCAGGAAUACAGAUAAAAGAGGCAUCAUCAGUUUCACAUUUACUAAUCCAUAAGGAUCUUUAU